rnacentral:rRNA from 1 species
AUUGAACGCUGGCGGCAUGCUUUACACAUGCAAGUCGAACGGUAACAGGCCUUCGGGUGCUGACGAGUGGCGAACGGGUGAGUAAUGCAUCGGAACGUACCCAGAGGUGGGGGAUAACGCAGCGAAAGCUGUGCUAAUACUGCAUGUGAUCUGAGGAUGAAAGCGGGGGACCGAGCAGCAAUGUUUGGCCUCGCGCCUUUGGAGCGGCCGAUGUCGGAUUAGCUAGUUGGUGGGGUAAAGGCCUACCAAGGCGACGAUCCGUAGCUGGUCUGAGAGGACGACCAGCCACACUGGGACUGAGACACGGCCCAGACUCCUACGGGAGGCAGCAGUGGGGAAUUUUGGACAAUGGGCGCAAGCCUGAUCCAGCAAUGCCGCGUGCGGGAAGAAGGCCUUCGGGUUGUAAACCGCUUUUGGCAGGAACGAAACGGUGUCCGCUAAUACCGGGCGCUAAUGACGGUACCUGCAGAAUAAGCACCGGCUAACUGCGUG